AGGGGGGAGGAUGGAGGGUAAAAUUACUAAGGUAUAUGGAAUUUCAUGUUCCAACCACAUACAUGAUUGAAUAGGAUGAUCCAAACAGGCUCUAAAAGUUCACUGCUGCUCCCUCUCAGCGAGCCUGCGGAGACCGCCAGAGAAGUUCCGUCCUAGCCUAUGGACGGGCCGAUGGUGGGCGCUGUCGCAACGGAGGAUUUGCCGCCGCCCCUGCAGCUGAAAAAAAGGAGGAGAGAGGUUUACUGAACAAAAAGAGGACGAUCCAAAGGAGAGUGAAAAUUAUUAAGCUGAAACAGAUAAGCUUAAGGCCGGACGUGAUCGAGAUGUGGGAAUGCAGCAGCAGCGGAUCCAGAGCUGCUAGCUUGUAUGAAAUCGUAUAGGAAUAUUGUACCUCUUCCAAGACACUCGCGUCAGAAGCGAAAUUUCCUAGGGGGAAAGCGAGGUAACGAGAAGCAGGCUUCUCAAUUUCCGACUUCAUUGCUGC
rnacentral:lncRNA from 1 species